GCUAGUAAUGGCAGGUCAGCAUACUGCCGUGAAUACGUUCCCGGGCCUUGUACACACCGCCCGUCACACCAUGAGAGUUGGAGAUACCCGAAGCCUAUGAGCUAACUUUUAGAGGCAGUAGUCGAAGGUAGAAUCAAUGAUUGGGGUGAAGUCGUAACAAGGUAUC
rnacentral:rRNA from 1 species